AACGGGGGGGGCAGGCGUUAUUCAUCUUUACUGGGCGUAAAGGGCGCGUAGGCGGAUAUCUAAGUUGGGGGUGAAAUCCCGGGGCUCAACCUCGGAAUUGCCUUCAAAACUGGGUAUCUUGAGUUCGGGAGAGGUGAGUGGAACUCCGAGUGUAGAGGUGAAAUUCGUAGAUAUUCGGAAGAACACCAGUGGCGAAGGCGACUCACUGGCCCGAUACUGACGCUGAGGCGCGAAAGCGUGGGGAGCAAACAGG
rnacentral:rRNA from 1 species